rnacentral:rRNA from 1 species
CAGCAGCCGCGGGAAUACGUAGGGUGCAAGCGUUAAUCGGAAUUACUGGGCGUAAAGCGUGCGCAGGCGGUUAUAUAAGACAGAUGUGAAAUCCCCGGGCUCAACCUGGGAACUGCAUUUGUGACUGUAUAGCUAGAGUACGGCAGAGGGGGAUGGAAUUCCGCGUGUAGCAGUGAAAUGCGUAGAUAUGCGGAGGAACACCGAUGGCGAAGGCAAUCCCCUGGGCCUGUACUGACGCUCAUGCACGAAAGCGUGGGGAGCAAACAGGAUUAGAGACCCGAGUAGUCCCUGUCUCUUAUAC